CCAUGUCGCGACACGGCCCCGCCCACCUGCCAUGGUCAGGCCCCGCCCAUAUCGCGACACGGCCCCGCCCACCUGCCAUGGACAGACCCCGCCCAUAUCGCGACACGGCCCCGCCCACCUGCCGCGGGCUGACGAUGAUGCUGCUGCUCUUGGUGCCCGGUUUGAUGGCGGGCAGGGCCGGAACCUCCCGGGGCUCAGCCCGGUUCUGGUCCCGGUUCUGGUCCCGGUCCCGGUUCUGCUCCCGGUUCUGGUUCUGCUCCCGGUUCUGGUCCCGGUUCUGGUUCUGCUCCCGGUUCUGGUCCCGGUCCUUCCCGGUUGCCCCCGAGCCCCUCACCACGAACUCAGCGUAAGAACCGGGACCGGGCGGGAUCGGAACCGGCACCGGGCCCGGAGGGGGCGCGGAGGAGGCUCGGAACAGCGACGGGACCUGGCGGGGACACCGGGACAGCGCCGGUGACACCGGGACAGCUCCAGGGACACCGGGGGGACACCGGGGGGACACCGGGACAGCUCCGGUGACACCGGGGGGACACCGGGGCCACCCCCCGACCCUUCCCGGUCCCCCGUAAUGUCGCCGGUCCCGUUCUCGUUCACCACCCCCGGUUCCGCUCCCCAUCCCCAGUUCCCCGUUCCUGGUCCCGUUCCCGGUCACCUCCCCCGGUUCCGUCCUCUCCUCCCCGGUUCCCCGUUCCCGGUCCCGUUCCCGGUUCCCCUCCCGCCACCGCCGGUACCGGGGAUUCUUCGGGACCCUCCUGCCGAACCGUGAAGCGCCGCCGCUUUCCCCCCGCUGCCGGUGCCGGUGCCGGGUCGGUGGCGGCUCCGGGAUUGGGGUCCGGCUCCGGGUCCGGGUCCAUGCCGGGGUUCGGGAUCGGUUCGGGGGUCCCGGGGUCGAUUCCGGAGGGUCUCGAGGGGUCCCGGGUUCGAUUCCGGGGUCCCCGGUUCGGUUUUGGGGGUCCUGGAUUCGGUUCCGGGAUCCCGGUUCGGGGGUCCCGGUUCGGUUCUGGGGUCCCCGCUUCGGUUUUGGGUUCCCUGGUUCGGUUCUGGGAUCCCGGUUCGGGGGUCCCGGAUUCGGUUUUGGGGUUCCGGAGCCGCCGCGCGCGCUCCGGUCCCGCGGAAGGGGCGUGGCCUCCGCCCUCCCCACGACUGGACCGUGGUGCUGUCAAUCAAUGGAACCACGCCCCCCUUUCCCGCCAUAGGAAGGGGCGGGACCUCAGUGGGUUGGUGGGCGUGGCUAUGGCGGAAAGACCACGCCCCCCUGAGUGACAGUGACAAUCGGGGACACCGAGGGACCCCCGGGACCCCCCCAAAUUAACGGGGACCCCUCCCCAAAUUAACAGGGACCCCCCCAGGGUCAGAAUCCAACAGCGGGACCGGGAUCGGCCCGGGAGGGACCCUCGGGACCCCCCCAAAUUACCGAGACCCCUCCCUGAAUUAACGGGACCACCGGGACCCCUCCCCAAAUUAUCGGGGACCCCUGGGACCCCUCCCCAAAUUACCGGACCCCCCGAAAUUAACGGGGACCUCUCCCCAAAUUAUCGGGGACCCCCGGGACCCCUCCCCAAAUUGGGGCUCCCUCGUCCCUGGAGCAUAAAAAAGGUGGGGAAAUCCCAAAAAGUGGAAAAAUUCCCCCCAAAAGUGGAAAAAUUCCCCCCAAAAUUGGGGAAAAUCCCCCCAAAAUUGGAAUAAUCCCCCAGAAUGUUAAACCCCCAAAGCAGGAGGGAAACCCCAGAAGGAAAUAAAAACCCGGAAUUAUUUUUGGGGUGAAAUCA
rnacentral:lncRNA from 1 species